rnacentral:lncRNA from 1 species
CAUGCGUAGAUCCGACCAUGCCGCCGGCCUAUACGACGUCAGACGCCUCAUAAAUGCCAAGAGAUCCGGACGUCUAGUCGGCGUCAGAAGUCACGUCGGCGUCAGGUGUCAGACGUCACGUCUUGUCGUCGUCAGGCGUUACGUCGGUGUCAGAAGAUCGGGCGUCGGACGAUACGGCGUCAAACGACCGGAUAUUCGACGCCGAUCACGGGAGAGUGGGCCGCU